ensembl:miRNA
UGCGGUGGAUUAGGCUUUGGCUCAAGGGAAUAUUGUGGCUGGUUUGAUCUUUCAUCCAGACCACGAAAACUUUCUCCAUAUCAGC